AUGAAGACACCCGAUCGGCCCGACUUUCCCAAAUGCCCACCACCGGCCCUUCUCCUUUCCGGGUCUGGAUUUAUCGCGUCGUUUCAGUCGUCGUGGUCGACGGGGAAGAAAGAAAUGAAUGAAUGUUCUUUUGGGAAAAUGUAUAAGAAUACACCUACCGAGACGAAAGCCAAAGGGGCGGCGGCGUUCUUGAAUGAAGUCUAUCCGAACCGAAUUAGCACUUCUCAGAUCAGGCUAGGCCUCUCCAGCUCCGCAGGGCGCCGGGGCCCUGGAUGCGCUAGCGAUCGGCACAUAGGGGGUGCCGGGUUUCUCGGCCUGGUAUCCUGCACCUCGCGUUCAUGA